AGCUACUGUAUUUAGGCUGACUCUGGCUGAUCUUUUCUGAGCUUAAAAGGUAAGUGCAGUCAAGCUUGGUUAAUGCAUGCAUGGAAGACCACCUGGGAAUACCAGGUACUGUAGACU
rnacentral:rRNA from 1 species